rnacentral:lncRNA from 1 species
GGGACUGGAACCGGCACUUGGCACCCCUUACGCCUUACGGUGGCCGCUGCGCCCAGUCACAUCUAUUGCAUUUCUCUGGAAUGACCACAGCAAUAUUUCCAGCCCUUGAUGAUCUUCUAGAACUUUGCCACUUCCCUGCAUCAAGAGGUAUAACCUCAUCCUGGAGCAGGGCACCCUAUCGUCAGAUGGUAUCAUCUUUAAGGGGUUGUCUCAGCCAUGCCUUUAGAAUUACCUUUCAUUGCUUGUCAUGCUGGAAGCUUCUGAAUGUUGCAUUUUGUGAUAGAAACAGUGGGUACCAUGGUCAUGUGCUCACAUCUCCUUUGCGGUAAAGAAAAGGAUCACUCAUUAACAUCCACCAGAUAACAUUCUCCAUGAAAGCACCAAAUAAGGUUUGUCUUGGUCCAUUUUAUGCUGCUAUAACAGAACACCACAGACUGAGAAAUUUAUAAGGAAUAGAAGUUUAUUUGCCUCAUGUUUCUGGAGGCUGGGAAUUCCAAGAUCAAGGGGCUGCAUAGAUUGAGGUCCUUUUUGCUGACUCAUAACGUGGAAAGAGAGUGCACUGCAUAGAAGAAAGGAGGCCAAACUCAUUCUUUUAUCAUGAGCCUACUCCUGAAAUAACUCACUCUCAAGAUAAUGGCAUUAAUCCAUUCAUGAAGGCAGAAUACUCAUGAUGUAAUCACCUCUUAAAAGGUCCUAUUUCCUAACACUGUUGCAUUAGGGAUUAAGCUGUCAACACAUGAAUAUUGGGGGACACAUUCAAACCAUAGCAAGAGUUCUUUGUCUUUGUGACUCGGUGUGGUUCAGCAAAUUGCGAUUGGUCUGCUAUAGCGGACUUUCCCCUCACCUCCCAAAUGUUUAUUAUGAAAAAUUUCAUUUUAAAGAAAGGUGGAAGGAAUUGUUGAAAGAAUAUGUCAUCUAGUUUCUACUGUUGUUAACAUUGUGUCAUAUUUGCCUUUUCAUCCAUCCAACCACCCAUCCAUCUAGCUACCUUAUAAUUACUAUUAUUACUUAUUAUUACUAUUAUUUUUAAAGACACCUCUAUUAAAGCAACCAUCUUAUUUUUUGAUUUUAUUUAUUUUCAAAGUUAGUUGCAGACAUUAGUAUACUUUACUCCUAGACAUUUUAGCGUGAACAUAAUUAACUGGAGUAUAAUACUUGUUUUCAAUUUCUUUUUAUUUUUGAGGUAAAAUUUACAUACAGUGAAAUCCAAAUCUUAAGUGUACCACUAGAUAAAUUUUGAUAAAUGCAUUAUGCCUGGUCUUCACACACCCUUUUCAAUAUAUAGAAAAUUUCCAGAUAAUUUAUUUUGUUGUUUUUUUCACACACUAAGUUCUAGACUUUUCCAGGUCCGAGGGAACUAUUAGGGGGGAAAGUACUUGUUAUAGUAAAAAAGAUUUUAGGUGUGUUUGUUUUUAAGGUGCAGAAACACAUCGCAGAUUAAGGUCUGCAUCUCUGCUUUUUGUUAUUGUUCCAGUUUGAUCUCAGUGACAUUACAAGCAAGCAGAAACACUCAGACAUGAAAUGGCCAGUGCCUGUGAGUUAAGAGCAGGAUCUAGGUCUAUUUUUUUGAUAUGUAUCUCAACUACCUGGAAUACUUUAUACUUUUGGCACUCAAUAAAUAUUUGUUGCUGCCAGACGAUCUGCCACAAAAA